rnacentral:rRNA from 1 species
CGGGUGCACUGAUCCAGCCGGGCCUUUCCCUCUGUGGAACCCCAUGGCCUUCACUGGCUGUGGUGGGGAAACAGGACUUUUACUUUGAAAAAAUUAGAGUGCUCCAGGCAGGCCUAUGCUCGAAUACAUUAGCAUGGAAUAAUAGAAUAGGACGUGUGGUUCUAUUUUGUUGGUUUCUAGGACCGCCGUAAUGAUUAAUAGGGACAGUCGGGGGCAUCAGUAUUCAAUUGUCAGAGGUGAAAUUCUUGGAUCUAUUGAAGACUAACUACUGCGAAAGCAUUUGCCAAGGAUGUUUUCAUUGAUAAGGAACGAAAGUUAGGGGAUCGAAGACGAUCAGAUACCGUCGUAGUCUUAACUAUAAACUAUGCCGACUAGGGAUCGGACGAUGUUAUUCUUUGACGCGUUCGGCACCUUUCGAGAAAUCAAAGUGCUUGGGCUCCAGGGGGAGUAUGGUCGCAAGGCUGAAACUUAAAGAAAUUGACGGAAGGGCACCACCAGGGGUGGAACCUGCGGCUUAAUUUGACUCAACACGGGGAAACUCACCAGGUCCAGACACAGUGAGGAUUGACAGAUUGAGGGCUCUUUCUUGAUUCUGUGGGUGGUGGUGCAUGGCCGUUCUUAGUUGGUGGAGUGAUUUGUCUGCUUAAUUGCGAUAACGAACGAGACCUUAACCUGCUAAAUAGCCCGUACUGCUUUGGCAGUUCGCCGGCUUCUUAGAGGGACUAUCGG